GACGUAGGGCGCGAGCGUUGUCCGGAUUUAUUGGGCGUAAAGAGCUCGUAGGCGGCUUGUCGCGUCGACCGUGAAAACUCGGGGCUUAACUCCGGGCUUGCAGUGGGUACGGGCAGACUAGAGUGCGGUAGGGGAGACUGGAAUUCCUGGUGUAGCGGUGAAAUGCGUAGAUAUCGGGAGGAACACCAGUGGCGAAGGCGACUUCCUGGCCUGUUCUUGACGC
rnacentral:rRNA from 1 species